GAUGAACGCUAGCGGCAGGCUUAAUACAUGCAAGUCGAGGGGCAGCAGGUCCGUAGCAAUACGGAUGCUGGCGACCGGCAAACGGGUGCGGAACACGUACACAACCUUCCUUUGAGCGGGGAAUAGCCCGGGGAAACCCGGAUUAAUACCUCAUAGUAUGGUGAAGAGGCAUCUCUUUACUAUUAAAGAUUUAUCACUUAAAGAUGGGUGUGCGGCUGAUUAGGUAGUUGGCGGGGUAACGGCCCACCAAGCCUACGAUCAGUAACUGGUGUGAGAGCACGACCAGUCACACGGGCACUGAGACACGGGCCCGACUCCUACGGGAGGCAGCAGUAAGGAAUAUUGGUCAAUGGACGAAAGUCUGAACCAGCCAUGCCGCGUGGAGGAUGAAGGUCCUCUGGAUUGUAAACUUCUUUUAUAUGGGACGAAAAAAGGCUUUUCCAGGUCGUCUGACGGUACCAUAUGAAUAAGCACCGGCUAACUCCGUGCCAGCAGCCGCGGUAAUACGGAGGGUGCAAGCGUUAUCCGGAUUCACUGGGUUUAAAGGGUGCGUAGGUGGGUUGGUAAGUCAGUGGUGAAAUCCCCGAGCUUAACUUGGGAACUGCCAUUGAUACUAUUAAUCUUGAAUACCGUGGAGGUCAGCGGAAUAUGUCAUGUAGCGGUGAAAUGCUUAGAUAUGACAUAGAACACCAAUUGCGAAGGCAGCUGGCUACGCGAAUAUUGACACUGAUGCACGAAAGCGUGGGGAUCAAACAGGAUUAGAUACCCUGGUAGUCCACGCCCUAAACUAUGGAUACUC
rnacentral:rRNA from 1 species